rnacentral:rRNA from 1 species
AUUGAACGCUGGCGGCAGGCCUAACACAUGCAAGUCGAACGGGUGGCGGACGGGUGAGUAAUGUCUGGGAAACUGCCUGAUGGAGGGGGAUAACUACUGGAAACGGUAGCUAAUAACGCAUACCAGAAGAUGUGCCCAGAUGGGAUUAGCUAGUGGGUGGGGUAACGGCGCACCAAGGCGACGAUCCGUAGCUGGUCUGAGAGGAUGACCAGCCACACUGGAACUGAGACACGGUCCAGACUCCUACGGGAGGCAGCAGUGGGGAAUAUUGCACAAUGGGCGCAAGCCUGAUGCAGCCAUGCCGCGUGUAUGAAGAAGGCCUUCGGGUUGUAAAGUACUUUCAGCGGGGAGGCGUUACCAGCAGAAGAAGCACCGGCUAACUCCGUGCCAGCCGCCGCGGUAAUUC